UCUGGAGUCUUGGAAGCUUGACUACCCUACGUUCUCCUACAAAUGGACCUUGAGAGCUUGUUUGGAGGUUCUAGCAGGGGAGUGCAGCUACUCGUAUACCCUUGACCAAAGAACGGAAGAGCACACGCCUG